GUGAAUUCCAUGUAAGGGGACCCGCAGUGUAUGUAGAUAGAAGUAGCUCAUUCUAAGGAGAUAAAAACAUAACGCUUCAUAAUCCUCCAAAAAACUACACAUUGGACCUUUAAUUCUUUAUGAAAUUCUAUAACAUGAUACUUAUUGAAAGUUGGAUACUAUUUCAACUGGAUUACUGUACAGUUUUACUUGAAAACCAGAGAGUAUUUCUGAUUUCCCAACAAAAACAACAAGAAGCGAGAAAGGCAUAACUGUGGGAAGAGAAGCAAACAACAGAUGAAACGACUUCAUUCUGCUGGUGACAUCGUAAAAAAAGAAUCAACCACAUACAUUUUGAAGAGAAGAAUGAGCGUGCGUGAGCUCCAUGUGCCCUCCGCUCUUGGCAUGCUGUUUUCCUGGAACUCCUAAACUCGAGAAGGAGCCCUCAGGAGCCGGGCCUUCGGGUCUAGCGGUUCCCCGAGGUUAAUAUUCAACAAGUCCAC